rnacentral:rRNA from 1 species
GACGAACGCUGGCGGCGUGCCUAACACAUGCAAGUUGAGCGACGAACCGGGGCUUGCCCCGGGGCAAAGCAGCGAACGGGUGAGUAACACGUGGGCAACCUGCCCCGAAGACCGGGACAACCCGAGGAAACUCGGGCUAAUACCGGAUGUGCCCUGCGAGCAUCAGCUCGUUGAGCAAAGGAAGCUUCGGCCUCCGCUUCGGGAGGGGCCCGCGGCCCAUUAGCUUGUUGGUGAGGUAACGGCUCACCAAGGCUCCGAUGGGUAGCUGGUCUGAGAGGACGAUCAGCCACACUGGGACUGAGACACGGCCCAGACUCCUACGGGAGGCAGCAGUGGGGAAUCUUGCGCAAUGCGCGAAAGCGUGACGCAGCAACGCCGCGU